AUUGAACGCUGGCGGCAUGCUUUACACAUGCAAGUCGAACGGCAGCGCGGGCUUCGGCCUGGCGGCGAGUGGCGAACGGGUGAGUAUUACAUCGGAACGUGCCCAGUAGUGGGGGAUAGCUCGGCGAAAGCCGGAUUAAUACCGCAUACGACCUGAGGGUGAAAGCGGGGGAUCUUCGGACCUCGCGCUAUUGGAGCGGCCGAUGGCAGAUUAGCUAGUUGGUGGGGUAAAGGCCUACCAAGGCGACGAUCUGUAGCUGGUCUGAGAGGACGACCAGCCACACUGGGACUGAGACACGGCCCAGACUCCUACGGGAGGCAGCAGUGGGGAAUUUUGGACAAUGGGCGAAAGCCUGAUCCAGCAAUGCCGCGUGUGUGAUGAAGGCCUUCGGGUUGUAAAGCACUUUUGGCGGGAACGAAAAGGACUGUGCCAAUACCACGGUUCGAUGACGGUACCCGCAGAAUAAGCACCGGCUAACUACGUG
rnacentral:rRNA from 1 species